CCUCUUAUCAGCAUGAACUGCAUCGAUUAGAGCUUUACCACGCUUGCAGGAGCGCAUGUUACCCCACCACCACCCCACAUGCUUGGCGUUGAAAUCGCCGGCAAAAAAAAACUUUGGACCCCGGGAGGAGGAGCGGAUAUUAAUAAAAAGAUCUUUGAAGUCCGUUUGAGACCAUUCUAAUACAGGGUGACAGUAAAUCCCUGCUAUCUUGAUGUGUUUGCUGUCAUUUAGCUUGAUAGAAAUUGGUACGCAUUGAUGAAGAUCAUUUUCGAUUGUAGGAAUGGCCAUUUGUUGGAUGCAGCUCCGUAUAAUGAUAGCUGCACCGCCCUUUUUUCUGCCAGAGGGGUGGCAGGCAAGCAUAAACAUUUCUAUCUCCUGCAAUUUGUUAGAGACUCCUGCAGCGUUGCAGUAUGCGAUUAACAGGUGAUUUGAGCUGGUCAUUGUAACAAGCGACUGGGUUUAAGUCCAGCAUUGUUGAUAAACCUAGUAAGGGCCUCUAUUUGCUUUUGGAGCUCUCUCCCCAUAUUCUCUGCCGCUUUGAGGGCAGCGGGCACAUUUCCGUCGAACGGUAGGAAGAGUCUGGAUAUUUGAGAGCUUCCAUUGGAGGCUGGUGCGACUUAACAGGAGUUGGCGAUUGGCAUUUCCUGUGUACGUCCGCCUUUACUACCAGCUGAUGCGGCCCAUUUCCUUGGCCUGCUUUUGGAUUUGCUUAACUGGAGUGAGAAAAAGCGAUCGACGAGCCGGUUUCACGCUUUUUUCCUGGCUGGGACUACGGUUUCUCUUGAGGCUAGGCGAUUGGCCAGCUGGUGGAGCGUUCUUUGGCCUUCUAACAGGAAUAGGGGAGGAGGACGACGCACAGAAUUGUCUGCUUUCUGGCUAGAGUUAUGGGCAGUUUUGGAAUACUUGUUGGGCUUCUUGACACAGAUAAGUUAUGAUUUCCUUUGAGUUUAUCAGCAAAGCUAAUUUGUUUAGUAAUUUGUGAUUUUGUUUGCUUUUUUAGGAACGGAUUUAGGUAUUCCUGUCGCCUUGCAGAUCGCAGCUCCGUGGGAUAUGGACUUCUGAACGGGAAUUUUCUCAGCUCAGCCUUGUAGAACGGACAUCCCUUCCAGCUGGCCACAUGCUGUCCAAUGCUGGAUUUGAGAUUCGUUCAAGACUGCAGUCUUUAGUCUCAUUGCCAGAUUUGCAUAAUUUGAGGCAUUUUGGAUCAUAGCUGCAGUAGUUCCUGGUGUGGUUUAAUCCUUGGCAUCUGUGGCACUGCGGAACUCCACUUUGCUUCUCUGGAGUUCAACUUUAAUGGAUUGAACGCCAAAAUAUUUUAAGCUAAGGAUAUUGUUGUUAAAAUUGUCUAAUCUGGGUUCAAGUUCUAUUUCAAAUAUAUUCAUCGGUU